ACAUGCCUACAAAAUAGUGUUAAUGCAUCAGAUACCAUUAGAACUUCAUAGUUAAGUGCACUCAUGCUAGAUUAGUACUGGGAUGGGGGACUUCCUAGGAAGUCCUACUGUUUUACAUGCC
rnacentral:rRNA from 1 species